GCAAAAUACUGACUGAUCCAUACAAAGGAAAGGAUUCAUCUCCAUAAUACACAUGCAGUUUAAGCCGUUUCCAGGCACCACAAAAAGAAUAACAUAAUUUAGAGGUUCUUACAGCAAACCUUUAUGAUGGAGCUCAAUUUUUCACGGUUGUCACGUGCUUCAGAAGCAUGUUCACAACGUCGUGUGAAAUUCUCGCAGACUCUUCUUUCAGGUGAUAAAUCUUUUCAUCUGUCUCGAUCUCAAGCCGCUUAACAUUAGCUCCUGAAUCUCCGCUACUCUCAGCAAGUUUUCUUUGGAAUUCAGACUCGACUUGGGCGCGAUAUGCAGCAAUUUCCUUUUCAGCCUCUUCUUUGGCUUGUUUCAGUCUAGCCAUUUUUGCAUU
rnacentral:misc_RNA from 1 species